UUCUUACAAAAAAAACCCCAAAAUUCUUCAUAGAUUUAAGAGAACUAAAUUUACUAGACUUUAGUUUAUGGAUAACCAAAGAAAUACUCUUCUUAAUUGGACUUACUUCUGUCAAGGCAAGGGCAUGGAUGAGCUAAGUCAGACACUGUUGCUGACAACAAUGGAGCUGGAGAACACAAGGUUGAAAGCUCAAGAAGAGCUAAAAAUCAGAGAAGAUGAAAUAAACCAGCUUAAAGAUUUGUUAAACAGAACCAUCAAUGAGAAAAAUGAAGCUCAAGAGAAAUGCCAAAAACUAAUCUUGGAAAAACUCAUGUUUCAACAGCAGCAACAACAACAACAUCAUCUGGUGUUUCAACAAACAGGUCCAUUAUCUGGUGUUUCAAGCAUUGAAGAUGAACCAAUACUAAACAGAUCAUUUUCAUCUUCAGAUUGUGAUGAAAGCAUUGUUUCAUCCCCACAAGAAAAAGAUCAACAACAACAACAAGAUUUGCCUAUUCUUAUAGACAAACCAUUGCCUGAAAAUGGAAAAUUUUUACAAGCUGUUAUGCAAGCAGGACCACUUUUACAAACACUCCUUCUUGCUGGUCCUUUACCUCAAUGGCGCCACCCCCCACCCCCAAUGGACACCUAUGAAAUCCCACCACCCCCUGUGGUUAUUCCAUGUCAAGAUCCAAUUUUUAAUGUUUUUAACAACUGUGGAAGACUAAACAAGAAAAGGGGUAGUGGUGUUCUUUUUGAUGAUUCUAACAUUGGAAACAAAUACCAAAGGGUUGUGCUUUGAGUUUCCAAAUGAAAAAAAACAAAACAAACAAUUUUUAGUACUAGUAAGAAAAAAAAAGAACUGAUUUUAGAAAUUUUUGUACAAAAUUGAAGAGGUUUGGUUUAGGAAAGUGAGUGAGGGGAAAGAAGAAAAAGAUUAUUGUUUUGAGCUAUUUUUAGUUUUUUUUUCUUCUUUUUUUUGGGUUUGGUUAGUAAUAGUAUGUUGGUUGGAUUGUCUCUUUCCUUCAAUAUUAUUAUAAUCAUUUAGAGUUUG
rnacentral:misc_RNA from 1 species